rnacentral:rRNA from 1 species
UACGUAGGGUGCAAGCGUUGUCCGGAAUUAUUGGGCGUAAAGAGCUCGUAGGCGGUCUGUUACGUCGGCUGUGAAAACCUGGGGCUCAACCCCGGGCCUGCAGCCGAUACGGGCAGACUAGAGUUCGGCAGGGGAGACUGGAAUUCCUGGUGUAGCGGUGAAAUGCGCAGAUAUCAGGAGGAACACCGGUGGCGAAAGCGGCUCACUGGACCAUAACUGACGCUGAUGCACGAAAGCUAGGGGAGCAAACAGG